rnacentral:rRNA from 1 species
GACGAACGCUGGCGGCGUGCUUAACACAUGCAAGUCGAACGAAGAGCGCCGGCAGUUUGCUUCUAUCAAUCUUAGUGACGAAUGGGUGAGAAACGCGUAAUCAACCUGCCCCUCUGAGGGGGAUAACAGAAGGAAACGACUGCUACUACCGCAUACGACCUAUUCACGGCAUCGAGGGUGGAUGAAAGGUGGCCUGUACAUGUCAGCUGUCACAGCAGGAGGGGGUUGCGUCAGAUUAGCACGUUGGAGUGGUAACGGAGCACCACGGCGAUGAUCAGUAGCCGGACGGAUAGGAUGAGUGGCCACAUUGAGACUGUGACACGGCCCAGACGGCUAGGGGAGGCAGCAGUAGUGAUGCUGCCGCAAGGGGCGAAAGUCUGACGGAGCAACGCCGCGUGAGGGAGGACGGCCUUCGGGUUGUAAAGCUCUGUUAAUCGGUACGAAAGGCCUUCUGGCUAUGAGGGAGAGUGAUUGACGGUACCGGGAUAGAAAGCCACGGCUAACUACGUG